AAACGUUCGAAGAAAGAUUCCGAAGACGCGUACGACGCCAUUGUGGGAAAGAGAAACCGUGUUGCCAAACGUCUGUGGGAGGAUGAGGAUGACCCCCCUGCUGCCGUGGCCAAAGUCAGUGGAACCAAAGCUGCCAUUCACAAUCAAGGGGCGGAAAUCCUAGCUUCCAUUUCCUUGGAAGAACAAGCAGAAAAUAGUGACAACGAGCUCUCACUUGUGCGUCAAGAAUUGCUAGAAAUAAAAAAUGUAUCUUCACAGAGAUACCUCAGAUAAAAGAAAUGCUCAAUAGAAGCUCCA